CACAAAAAAUGAUCUUCCGGAAGAAAAAGUGGAGUUGAGAGAGCACACAGGAAACAGUUGUAAUUCAUUCUGUAUUAUCAAACGAUUAUUCUUUUUAAGCAUUCACUUAUUUUAAUGUUUUAUUCGAACUUUUCUCUUAUGGGGGGAGAAGAAAGGUUUUUUGGAAAUGUAGGUUGGGCGACACUCUAUAUAAAUGGGUGAAUGUUCACUCGGAGCUGAUACUUCUUAUUUGCAAACGUUGAAUAUUAUUCUAGCCUCUAGAUUCUGUUAAGAUAGUCGAUCAGAGAUGAAGGUUUUCUUCCUUGCUCUUUUCUUGUUCGCCCUCGCAAGUCAAUACUGGCUGGCAGUUGAGGCUCAAGGCUCACCCAACACCCAGAGAUUCUCAGCACGAGUGGACCAAAUGAUUUGCCAAACAGGGUGCCGAGUCCUCUCCGACUCCCACAGAGACGGAUGCUGCAAAAAAUACCACUAUAGCAGAUGCUGCUAAAAAGGAUGCCAAAAGGACGUGGAGAAGAGAUUCGCACCCGGUCACUUGUAUUUAUAGCCAAAGUAUUUCAUUUCUAAAUGGGUGGCGUAUUUAUAUUCAUUGAACUCUGUUUGGGGCUUUGUUAUACAUAGCAGUUCCCUCUCUGUAAACGUAUCGCGUAUAACGUUCUGUAAAUAAAAAUGUUGUGGUUUUAGUUUAUUAUA